rnacentral:tRNA from 1 species
GGAGAGGCUUAUUGGAAGAGGCUCUGCUUUGCAUUCAGAAGGUCCCAGGUUCAAUCCCUGGCACCUCCA